rnacentral:rRNA from 1 species
UACGUAGGGGGCUAGCGUUGUCCGGAAUCAUUGGGCGUAAAGAGCGUGUAGGCGGUCCGGUAAGUCCGCUGUGAAAGUCGGGGGGCUCAACCCUCGGAUGCCGGUGGAUACUGUCGGGCUUGAGUACGGAAGAGGCGAGUGGAAUUCCUGGUGUAGCGGUGAAAUGCGCAGAUAUCAGGAGGAACACCGAUGGCGAAGGCAGCUCGCUGGGACGGUACUGACGCUGAGGCGCGAAAGCGUGGGGAGCAAACAGG